rfam:Schistosoma mansoni strain Puerto Rico chromosome 1, complete genome
AUCCAUCUGACGAGUCCCAAAUAGGACGAAAUGCGCGUCCUGGAU